CGACGCUGUCGUUUUCCUCUGCUUCCAUUGUCGUUUGGUUCAGUUCGGUGCGCGGAAGGAAGUGAUGCUGUGACUGAGAAGAAUUGUUCAUGUGCUUAACAACCGAAUUGAACGAAUACAAAUCGAUGGAGGUUUUUGUUAUGCUUCUUGUGGAUACCUUAUUUAAAGAUGCACACGUUCAUGCUUUGUUUUAUUCUUCUCCACACUAAUAUGUUUCUCAUUCAGUUUCAGUGUAAGUAAUGACAACAUGGAAACCAGUGACAUGAGAUUUUGGAGCACUUGAGCCACUAACAUGGGAACAACAACCGUUACCAUGGCUGAGGUUUUGCUGAUCAGCGUCAACGACUUUAUCAUGUUCGUGGUCAAUCUGUGUCGUCAGUCACAUUAUUAGGUCUUUAUAAAUAUAGGAAUACAUUAGCCUUUAGAUGAUAUUUGUUCUUUUUUUGUUUUUGAGCACUUUAAGAGAGAAAAGGAGUGUGUGAGUUCCUUAGCAGGAACCUCGAGAUCACGAUGGAGAUUGAUUCUUGUAAAGUUUAUUUCUUUUUCUAGAUUUACGUUCUUUAUUGAGUUUUCUACUUUUGUCAUGAUCAUGAUCAUAUUCUUGUAACAGAUUAUAAUGAAUUCUCAAUGCUAUCAAGUCAAUUAAAUUUCUCCUC